AUUGAACGCUGGCGGCAUGCCUUACACAUGCAAGUCGAACGGCAGCACGGGAGCAAUCCUGGUGGCGAGUGGCGAACGGGUGAGUAAAGUAUCGGAACGUGCCCAGUCGUGGGGGAUAACGUAGCGAAAGUUACGCUAAUACCGCAUACGAUCUAUGGAUGAAAGCGGGGGAUCGCAAGACCUCGCGCGAUUGGAGCGGCUGAUAUCAGAUUAGGUAGUUGGUGGGGUAAAGGCUCACCAAGCCGACGAUCUGUAGCUGGUCUGAGAGGACGACCAGCCACACUGGGACUGAGACACGGCCCAGACUCCUACGGGAGGCAGCAGUGGGGAAUUUUGGACAAUGGACGCAAGUCUGAUCCAGCAAUGCCGCGUGCAGGACGAAGGCCUUCGGGUUGUAAACUGCUUUUGUACGGAACGAAACGGUGAGCUCUAAUACAGUUUGCUAAUGACGGUACCGUAAGAAUAAGCACCGGCUAACUACGUGCCAGCCGCCGCUGUAA
rnacentral:rRNA from 1 species